rnacentral:other from 1 species
UAAACCCUGCGCUGCUCGUGAAGGGGCUUGUAUUUUGGCCCAACACCUUAAAACGGGGAGCCAUAACCCCGGGCGGUGUGCACGCCUCCCUUUAAAAAGGAGGAAGCCUGAUGCCCGGCAGCGGCGCCCACUUGUUUAUAAAGGGACCAAAAUGUGGCCUCACACGGCUGCCGCGGGGAAUUA